GCACCUUCAAAACUUUUGGGGUUUAUAUGAUUACAUCCACUAUAUUUGUCUGUAAUUUUUUCACAACAUUAAUAAUCACAACAAAAGUACAAAACUAUAACUUAAAACCUUUUCUUGCCAAGGGAAGAAAGAAAGGUAAAAAAAAAAUAAAAAAUUAAGGGUGGAACAUGAAAGAUUGGAAACAUAUACAAGCACUAAAACUAAAUCAAACAACACAAGUUUAGCAGAAAUAUUAAGAGCAUUCUCCGAGAUCUUGGUAGGGUGCCAAGAUCAUGCUGCAGAAGGGAUAAGAAGCACUACAUAUAAGUCCUAACUGCAAACACAUGCGUUAAGUCUUAAUUUCUUCCAUUGGGUUCAUUUUAGAAGCACCGUUUCAUGACUACUUGCGUUUCUUCCUUGGAUCACACGGAAACAAAUUAACAAAAAAUUCAACCAAGGACUCAAAAACCAUUCUCUUGACGGAUUUCCUUGGAGCAGGAAUCACCGAUGCAAAUGCAUUCUUCUUGUUCUUCACCUUUGUCUCGUACUUUUUAGUACUCAUUCCUGCACCUUGAUCCAUCCCCAUAUCCUCUCACUCACCACGUACGCUCUCUCUUUUCUUUCUCUGAGUUUGUAUAUCUUUG
rnacentral:lncRNA from 1 species